AUUGAACGCUGGCGGCAGGCUUAACACAUGCAAGUCGAACGAUGAAGAUAUAGCUUGCUAUAUCGGAUUAGUGGCGGACGGGUGAGUAACACUUAGGAAUCUACCUUUUAGCGGGGGAUAGCUCGGGGAAACUCGAAUUAAUACCGCAUAAUUUCUACGGAAUAAAGAGGGCUUUUAGCUCUCACUAGAAGAUGAGCCUAAGUAAGAUUAGCUAGUUGGUGGGGUAAAAGCCUACCAAGGCGACGAUCUUUAGCUGGUCUGAGAGGAUGAUCAGCCACACUGGGACUGAGACACGGCCCAGACUCCUACGGGAGGCAGCAGUGGGGAAUAUUGGACAAUGGGGGCAACCCUGAUCCAGCCAUGCCGCGUGUGUGAAGAAGGCCUUUUGGUUGUAAAGCACUUUAAGCAGUGAAGAAGACCUAUUGGUUAAUACCCAAUAGCGAUGACAUUAACUGCAGAAUAAGCACCGGCUAACUCUGUGCCAGCAGCCGCGGUAAUACAGAGGGUGCAAGCGUUAAUCGGAAUUACUGGGCGUAAAGCGAGCGUAGGUGGUUAAAUAAGUCAGAUGUGAAAGCCCUGGGCUCAACCUAGGAACGGCAUCUGAAACUAUUUAACUAGAGUAGGUGAGAGGGAAGUAGAAUUUCAGGUGUAGCGGUGAAAUGCGUAGAGAUCUGAAGGAAUACCGAUGGCGAAGGCAGCUUCCUGGCAUCAUACUGACACUGAGGCUCGAAAGCGUGGGUAGCAAACAGG
rnacentral:rRNA from 1 species